UUAGACCGUUUUACGAGCGAGGCUGAAUUAAAAAGAUCAUAAACACGGAUCUGAAAAGUGGCGGCGUAUUAAUAUAAUAAUAUGUAGAAGUAUAGACGUACAAAAGUUAUAAAUGCAUAUUUUAAUGAAUGGACCCACCGUGCCGAGCCAGGCCUAUAGCUAGUUAUACGUAUAGAGUUGCUUCGUGACUUAACAACAACCAUAGAGUAGAACUGACAGAACUCAAAGCUCUAUUUAUUUUCAUUAUAAAUCAAGGCAAUAUAAUUUUACUAACAUCAACAUAAUGCCUUUUUGAAGAGCUACUUUCAGGUAUGAUGACAAUUUAUUCAAAUGUAAAUGCCAAACAAAAAGUGAGAUAGAAGAAAUUUAACAACAUCUGAUUACUACUGAUGAGCUUGUUGAUUUGUUUAGGCUAAUGUGUUUUGUCGAGUACUAAUUCGUAGUAAUUAUACAGUCCGACUUUAAGCUGUCGUUAAUCAGACCGCUGAGUUUCGAUCUGCGCGGCGAGUCGCGAUUCCAAUCCGGUAGCAGAUUCAUUCGGAAAAUAGCCACCCUCGAGCUAUUAGGCUCCUUCGGAAGCUGUUAGUAAGUCCCACACCUCCUGGCUGAGCUUAUGCUCGUCCAUCUGUCCUUGUGAAACCGGAAAGAACUCCGGACCACAUGUAAAGCCUCCCUCCAAAAAAAUUUCACUAAGGGUACAAGUUCCAUUAUUCCAAAUAGAUGUACCUACGGAUCUAUAAGCUUGAUAUUAUAAUAUGUUUUAAAAUUUGCCUCAGAUUAUUGUAUUUGAAAACAAGCUUCAAAAUUUUACUAUAACUGCUUAUUUAUUGCGUCAGUUUCCAAAAACAUAUAUAGAUCUACCUGCUUAGUUCAUAGGAUUUUAUUGAAGUUCUUUUGCUCUAUUAUUGUCACUUCUGAUUCUGUCUGGUGUUUGUCGAUUGCUUAUUGUCCAAUGGGAGCCCGUUUUGUGGAAUGCGCGGCUUUUCCCAGAACUUCGUCGCAAGCCAGGAGACGGGACCACUUGUUCGAAGUACUUUCACGUACAAAAAGAAUUCUCCGGUGCCGCGAGUGGUCCGCGAACACGCCACGAAAGCCAUCUCGACGAGAUUUCGAAAUUCCAAGAAAGGCAAAGCCUUAUAAAUUAUCUCAAAAGCGCCGACGCGGCCCUGCAGCCAGAAUGCUUUUUUAUAACACAGGUAGGCUGGCGCUAAGAAGGCAAUGGAAUGCAUGUAUAUUAUGCCGCUUCAACGAGUUUGAUAUUUGAAACUAUUUUCAAUUUAUAAUUACAAUUUUUAACUAUAUCGUGCGAUUAUGUGAAGUUUCAGUGUUGUGUAUUUAUAUUUGAUGAAUGAUAAUUUGAAUUUGAAUUUAAUAAAAUUGGUAUUUUAUUUUACAUACGAAAAUCAACUUGGAACCCGUAACAUUACAUACAUACGUAAUAUACAAAAAUCAACUAAUGAUUUUGAUAAAAAAAUUUAUUAAAUCACAACUAAAGUAUCAAUAUAUUUUCGUUUCACAUUGUGAGUAUUCGAUCCUAUAAACGUAGUGCACUCUAGAAAAAAAUGUGCGUGGUACACGCGUGCAGCACGAUUCCUGGAAGAUAGCGAUGCUGGUUAAAAUUCCACAGUCUCGUAUCCCCGAAGGUCGUGUUCAAUAAUAAGAAUAGACCAUUGAAUAGCUUUGGCGCCAACGCGAGGAGACCACCAUUCGUUCGGGAAUAAUUUAAACUUUUAAUAUUGUGAUGGGCAACAGUUUUUUCAGUAUGUAAGUAAGUCGUUUUGAAUACGUGGUUUAAUGGGGCUGAUCCUUGGCUAUCAAGAUUUCAUUGGUACAGCAUAAUGUGUAUUAGGAUUGUGUGUAUUGCGGUAGGCAGCGGCUUGGCUCUGCCCCUGGCAUUGCUGAAGUCCAUGGGCAACGGUAACCACUCACCAUCAGGUGGGCCGUAUGCUCGUCUGCCUACAAGGGCAAUAAAAAAAAAAAGGAAUUAAUUUGUAUUAUAUUCAACCAGUGUUAGGAUUUUACCGCAGAGUUCAUUGUUUAACCAGUUUAACGGCAGAAUACCAAAUGGUCUAAAAUAAGAUCUUCUUGUUAAUAAAAGUUAAGUAACUUGUUAAAAUAAUCGUAUCAAAGAAUCGAAAUGCCGCACACUUCAAUACUUGUAGCAUCUAUAAAUCUAUAAAGCAUCUGCUAGAGCCAGUAGACAUUAAAGCUACAUUGCGGAGCUCUAAGAAACAACGGCUCUUUGGGUCAUUGCGAUCGUAGACUUUGGACUCUAUUAUCACAGGCGUUCAGUUGAAAUUCCUCUGAGGCACUAUUCCUUGUGAUGGUGUGCCGUGGAAUUUGGGCCACGAAGCUGACUCAACGGCGAUCUAGUCCCUUCGCCGUCUCGGAUGUAAUCUAACUAGCGAGAGACUGCGCAGUUGGAAUGAACUCACAUCGACUCGUCGGAAGCCGUACGGCAUUGCCAAAUUUGAGCGUGUGACAUCACCACAGUUUGUCUUGGCCAAAGACCUCGAACACGACAAACUGUUGCGCAUCGAAGAUAAAGCACAUUUCUUGGAAGAAAAAAAUUGUUAUAUAAAGAAGUGGGUAUGACUUCUUACUAAAAUUAUGCAAACGACGAAAAUGAUCACGUAUGUUAAAACAUUCAUAGCGGAUAUAAAUUAUAUUCUUUCUCUCUGUCAACUUUUCAGACGGACAAAGUUUAUUAACAUCGUAAAGUUAUAAGUGAAUAAACGAAUACUCGUAGCUUUUUAGUGAAUUAUCAAACGUCGUCUACAAAGGCUUAAGUGCUCAUUUUUUCAUAUAUUUAUAUGUACUUUUUUUAUAUUUAUUGUCUUCAGUUUAUUCGAAUAACAAAAUAUUUGUUCUAUUUAUGACAACCGAUACUGUUAAUCAAAUAAAAGUUUGGUAUUUAA